rnacentral:lncRNA from 1 species
UCUCCUCGACUCGCCUCUCCGACCUCGGCCACCAUGACUCCUACGGCGCUACACAGAACUACGCCGGCGAAGCCAGCCUCGGCGUGCCGGGACAAGCGCCCGCGCCGCGCCCCGCCAACCCCUUCCUGCAGGAGGCGGCGGGCGGCUACAGGUAAACUACACAAGAGACGGCGACUCCACGGCCGCUGACUAUUUUGUAGCUCAAACAGUUCGUAUGGAAUCGAGUCUUACAACGCUUCAUACGCCUUACGUAAUUCAGUUGAAAACUGUAUCCAAUAUAAGGAAUCUUUAGACUCGAUCUUUAGAAAAAAGUGCAGUCAGAAUCUUUCUAAAUGCAGUUUCACCUUUACGAUUUAGGAACCUGAAAUUCCUGAAUUAAGUAAGUUGUAUGAGGCACUGAUACCUUUAUAGGACAUUCAUAAACACAUGUUGUACCCGGCGAAGUAGAAGAAAAAGAAGAAAUAUUGUAUCCGAGGCAAAAAAAAUACUGUUCUUUUGUAUUUUAACUAUUCUUAUUGCAAAAUGUUUUAGGCACAGAGUUACGACAUUUUUAUACCACGUCGCAAGAAACAACUAAACAGCUCGCCAGAUGUUAAAAGGUUACCUAUACUUUUAUUUAUGUAUGGAAUAUGUAGUUCCUUAAGAAAACCAGAGCGUUCGCGGAAGGACAAUCUAAGCUUUAAUUAUUUCUUAGAACUUGAAGUCGCGGGUCGCGAAUCCUUUAUGGAAUUCGACGCGACUUCUAAAAACCUUGUUAUUUGAUGUUUUGAUGUAAAUAUGUGUUAGGUACAUGGAAAUUAUCGCUUUUGAAAGACUUCGCGAUUUAUUUUGUAUAAUGAUUUGGCUUUUCUAGUAAAAUUUUAAGCUAGUCCAAAGACUCGAGUCUUUACCAACACUACACAAUCCUUCGAGAACCCAGGUUCUUCGUAGCUUCGGUACUAAGUAUUAUUAAUAGGCGGUUGAUAUUUAAGAUUCAUAUGCAAGAAGCUUAUAAAAACAAUGGAGGUUACACUAAGAACAAUAGUUAAGUGCAAUGUAAUUUGACCUUGAAUGAUGAAGGAUUUCUUACUUGGUGAUUCAGACUAUAGAGUACAGUUACUUCGGAAUUACCGCGAAGAACGAGAAGAUAAGACGUCUGUGCUGUGAAUCAAUGUCAUUUCCCUGGCUCCAGUGAUUUUAUAUGCUAAUUUCUUGUUGAUGGUCAGCCGCCACGUAUUAUUAUGCCCGCGCCAAACUUGCUGUGUGAACCCAAAAGAUAUAGAGGUAAAUAAACACGAAUCGUAAACUGAAAAGAUUCUCCACGCUCUUUUUGGUUGGUUAAAAGUUAGGGAACAAAUCGGGGUUAAUGGGAGAAAUUAAUCCAAAUUCGUGUGUAAAGGUUUCGCGCACUAAGUGUGGAGGGGCUUUAGUGUAAGUAGGUUAAGGGUCGACGAAUAUCGCUGUAGCAGCGUCUCGCCCGCGGCCGGUGGCCGGCCACUAUAAGGGUACUUGCUAUAAUUGUUCUAGGUGCAUUCUACUGAAAUGCUUUUUUGCAUGGCAGCUACUUCAAAAAAUCCUUAAAGCUCAUAUACUGCCAAUUUGUUAGGCAAGAAAUGAAAUAUUGUCAUACAUAAAAUCGCUUUAGCGUUUCCAGAAGUAUUUUUUGAGCCUCUCAUGGAAUGCCGUAAAUAUCAAACUUUUUUUACAACACGAAAUAAAUUGAUGGUGUUAUCAAUACAACUCUUCACGAUUUGCUCACGAUUCGUGAGCAUUUCGUGAAGCGUUUGUGCAUUCGGCUACGCACACAGGCCGGAUUGACUACUUUUUCGAUAAAGACAAGAUCUACCACUAAACGUGUCAUUAAAACUUGAUUUAUGUAAGUAUAAGCAUUAAGCAUCAUCAGCUGUAGAACAUAAUGGCAAGUACCCCACAAACGUUACAUUGUGUUCGCGGUGUUCGCUGUUGCUACGUCUCGUUUCUUUUGUACCGGUGUAUUGUGAACUUAUAUUACGCCAGGGGUCUCCAACCUUUUUGACCAGAGAGCCACUAAUUCGGCGAUAUUUUCUAGCCAUGAUGGUUAGAUUCUGUGCCGGAUCCGGCCCUGGUCAGAGUUUGGAGACCCCUGACUUACGCUAUACCCGUACUGUCACGGUGUCAUAUCAUGGUGUGAUGUAGACCGGCUCACGGAGGGAAAUCCGAUCCGUGAUCCGUAUUUUGUUGAUAAUGUAGCAGAUAUUCAUAUUAUAUAACUAUAUUAUAGCUAUAUGUAUACAAUGUAGAUUUGUUGUAAAGAUAUUCUUAUUGACAAAUAUCGCUGUUGGAGUACCAGAAAUCGAGCGAGUGUAUUAUUAAGUAGAGUCCGUUCACGGUGAGUUCAUGCCAAACGCGACGUCAAAUAUGGCGCUUCCAUACAUUGCCACUCCAACUUAGCCGUAAGAGGACACUACAUGGUAAAAAACUAUUGUUAAAAAAUAUUUUUACAUGAUCGCCAGAAACUGACUUUGUCGCACGAUUAACAAAUUUAUUUUACAUGUUAACAGUUGUAUGUUUCAAAGGAUUUUUCAUUGUUACCCCUUUAUUAUGGCGUGUCCGUUUUCUGGCCCGACGACAACGAUAUUUGCUUAUUGAGGAGGUGGGCACGAGUUAUAUUUUUGCACUUUCUCUCCGUCUGCCGCGCUGCGCCCUGCUCCAUCCGGGACGGAUCCGGCCCGUCUGAUCUGUUCAGGGUAAGAUAACGUACGGAUCGCGCUGGCGAACGACUUUCAAUUUCAAAACGUGUAACGAUUAAAUGUUGAACUAUUGA